rnacentral:rRNA from 1 species
GAGUUUGAUCGUGGCUCAGGAUGAACGCUGGCGGCGUGCCUAACACAUGCAAGUCGAACGGAUCCAUAUUGAAACCUAGUGAUGUAUGGAUUAGUGGCGGACGGGUGAGUAACGCGUGGAUAACCUGCCGUAUACAGGGGGAUAACACUUAGAAAUAGGUGCUAAUACCGCAUAAGCGCACGGUUCCGCAUGGAACAGUGUGAAAAACUUCGGUGGUAUACGAUGGAUCCGCGUCUGAUUAGCCAGUUGGCGGGGUAACGGCCCACCAAAGCGACGAUCAGUAGCCGGCCUGAGAGGGUGAACGGCCACAUUGGGACUGAGACACGGCCCAAACUCCUACGGGAGGCAGCAGUGGGGAAUAUUGGACAAUGGGGGGAACCCGUGAUCCAGCGACGCCGCGUGAGUGAAGAAGUAUUUCGGUAUGUAAAGCUCUAUCAGCAGGGAAGAAAGAAAUGACGGUACCUGAAUAAGAAGCCCGGCUAACUACGUGCCAGCAGCCGCGGU